rnacentral:rRNA from 1 species
CUUUUCCUACGGGGGGCAGCAGUGGGGAAUAUUGCACAAUGGGGGAAACCCUGAUGCAGCGACGCCGCGUGAGUGAAGAAGUAUUUCGGUAUGUAAAGCUCUAUCAGCAGGGAAGAAAAUGACGGUACCUGAUUAAGAAGCCCCGGCUAACUACGUGCCAGCAGCCGCGGUAAUACGUAGGGGGCAAGCGUUAUCCGGAUUUACUGGGUGUAAAGGGAGCGUAGACGGCAGCACAAGACUGGAGAGAAAUGCCGG